rnacentral:rRNA from 1 species
UUCAUGAUGAACCCGCGGCCUAUCAGCUAGUUGGUGAGGUAACGGCUCACCAAGGCUAAGACGGGUAGCUGGUCUGAGAGGACGACCAGCCACACUGGAACUGAGACACGGUCCAGACACCUACGGGUGGCAGCAGUCGAGAAUUUUUCACAAUGGGCGCAAGCCUGAUGGAGCGACGCCGCGUGGGGGAUGAAUGGCUUCGGCCCGUAAACCCCUGUCAUUUGCGAACAAGUUGGUUCAAUUAAUAACUGAACCAUUGAUAGUAGCGAAAGAGGAAGGGACG